rnacentral:lncRNA from 10 species
AAGGCAUUAGAACUGCCUUUGUAUUCCAAACUAGUAAAUCCACAGCAGCACUGCAUUCUGUAGAGACUUGUAGAGAUUAGUGCCUCUAUAAAAGAUUUAAAAGAUGCAGGGCUGGUGAUUUUCACCACACCUCCAUUCAACUCAACUAUCUGGCCUGUGCAGAAGACAGAUGGAUCUUGAAGAAUGACAAAGGAUUAUUGUAAACUUAAUCAGGUGGAAAUUGAUUGCCUCUUCAUUUCACAACACACCACAUGGAUCCUCUACACUGGUGGACCAGGAAAUCGCAACUACUUUAGACACCUUGGUUCUACUGCAGUGGACCUAGGUCAUCUCUUGAGUCUGGUGGGCCCAGCAAGUCCCCUUCGUGGUUAUGCCACCGUUGUCACACCUGUUGUGUUCUAAAAUGGGUACCUUAUUCGGAGGAGAUGCAGUUUUGGACCAGAUGGACAAAUAAAAGGACAAGCAACAAUUAACAA